CCUGCUCCUUAGUGUUCACUGGCACCGGUCAGGGUGCGUUACAAGGGUGCUCCCCCAAAGGUCCAUGUGUCCAGUGUCCACUUCCCUUUCUCCAGACAUCGCCAAGGACUAAAGUGUCCACCUCAUCCCCUGCUCAUCGCAGGCCCAGCAGAGGGGGAAUAAUGAGCCCUUGUGCAGACACCAGGGACAGAGACCCCACCUAGAGAGGACAUGAAACCUGGCCAAGCCUGCUUUUUCCAUGGAACAUCACUAACAUCCCAAGGGAGAGCUGUCUAUGAGCACAUGAAAUGCCAUUAAAGGACACAUUGGGGCUUCAUGAA